GAUGAGCCCGCGGCCCAUCAGCUCGUUGGCGGGGUAACGGCCCACCAAGGCAACGACGGGUAGCUGGUCUGAGAGGACGAUCAGCCACACUGGAACUGAGACACGGUCCAGACUCCUACGGGAGGCAGCAGUGGGGAAUCUUGCGCAAUGGGCGAAAGCCUGACGCAGCAACGCCGCGUGUGUGAUGAAGGUCUUCGGAUCGUAAAGCACUGUCGCGAGGGACGAAUAAGGCACGGUUGAACAAGCCGGGCCGAUGACGGUACCUCGAGAGGAAGCACCGGCUAACUCUGUGCCAGCAGCCGCGGUAAUACAGAGGGUGCUAGCGUUGUUCGGAAUUAUUGGGCGUAAAGCGCGUGUAGGCGGCCUUUCAAGUCAGGUGUGAAAGCCCUCGGCUUAACCGAGGAAGUGCGCCUGAAACUGUCGGGCUUGAGUACCGGAGAGGGUGGUGGAAUUCCCGGUGUAGAGGUGAAAUUCGUAGAUAUCGGGAGGAACACCAGUGGCGAAGGCGACCACCUGGACGGCUACUGACGCUGAGACGCGAAAGCGUGGGGAGCAAACAGGAUUAGAU
rnacentral:rRNA from 1 species